GGGAGGCUUUGUGGCUGUUCGUUCUUUUGCGUCUUCGGCGCUGGCUCUAUUUCACUUUGGUUCCUCUGUUUCUCCUCCCGUGUCGUCCCAUCCCGGCAACCAAGGUUUAUUACUGUAUGUGGUUUGCGCGAUCACAGCGUACAGAAUGGAUCUUGGAGGAAGGGGUCCCUGCUGGGCCUUCAAAGAAACCACGUGUAGACAUGAACAACCUUCAGUCUCCUGACCUCUGGAGUUCACUGUUGGCAGAAAGCAGACUUUGAAUGGACCAUGAUGGAUCCAGGAUUGGGAGAGAAUUGGACCAGAGCCCUGUGUGCGUCAGGGCGUAAAUAGGUUGAUUGCAGCCUGAUCUCAGCUUGGUUCAGUCUGUCCUGUAACAGGAGUUUCUCAACUGUGGAGUUGGAAUGCAAGGCCUCUUGGGAAAAGGUGACCCUGUUCUUCACUGAGAAAGCGUGAAGGUUCCGGUUGAAUCAGUCUCUUGAGGUUGCUGUGUAACCUGAGUGUCCAGAGCUGGAAAGCCUCUGGCUGUUUUGAAGAAUCAAGUAUUAUAUUAAACUUACGGAAAAAUUUCUAACUUUGUAGCCUUCCUACCUGGAGAAAGAAAAUAAAACCCUUUGAAUCAAAA